GAUGAACGCUAGCGGCAGGCCUAACACAUGCAAGUCGAGGGGCAGCACGUCUUCGGAUGGUGGCGACCGGCGCACGGGUGCGUAACGCGUAUGCAACCUACCUCUUACAGUGGGAUAGCCCAGAGAAAUUUGGAUUAACACCGCAUAGUAUACAGAUUCAGCAUUGGGACUGUAUUAAACAUUUAUGGGUAAGAGAUGGGCAUGCGUUCUAUUAGUUAGUUGGAGUGGUAACGGCACCCCAAGACAGCGAUAGAUAGGGGCCCUGAGAGGGGGAUCCCCCACACUGGUACUGAGACACGGACCAGACUCCUACGGGAGGCAGCAGUGGGGAAUAUUGCGCAAUGGGCGAAAGCCUGACGCAGCCAUGCCGCGUGCGUGAAGAAGG
rnacentral:rRNA from 1 species